rnacentral:rRNA from 1 species
GAUGAACGCUGGCGGCGUGCCUAAUACAUGCAAGUCGAGCGAACAGACGAGGAGCUUGCUCCUCUGACGUUAGCGGCGGACGGGUGAGUAACACGUGGUUAACCUACCUAUAAGACUGGGAUAACUUACGGAAACCGGUGCUAAUACCGGAUAAUAUAUUCAACCGCAUGGUUCAAUAGUGAAAGACGGUUUUGCUGUACCUUAUAGAUGGCUCCGGGCCGCAUUAGCUAGUUGGUAAGGUAACGGCUUACCAAGGCCACGAUGCGUAGCCGACCUGAGAGGGUGAACGGCCACACUGGAACUGAGACACGGUCCAGACUCCUACGGGAGGCAGCGGUAGGGAAGCGUCCGCAAUGGGCGAAAGCCUGACGGAGCAACGCCGCGUGAGUGAUGAAGGUCUGCGGAUCGUAAAACUCUGUUAUGAGGGAAGAACAAAUGUGUAAGUAACUAUGCACGUCUUGACGGUACCUAAUCAGAAAGCCACGGCUAACUACGUG